rnacentral:rRNA from 1 species
GCUGUAAAUGGGCGCAGCUGACGCAGCGACGCCGCGUGGGGGAUGAAGGUCUUCGGAUUGUAAACCCCUUUCGGGAGGGAAGAUGGAGCGGGCAAUCGUUCGGACGGUACCUCCAGAAGCAGCCACGGCCAACUUCGUGCCAGCAGCCGCGGUAAUAGAAA